CAGUCGCCACGGGAAUACGUAGGGUGCAAGCGUUAAUCGGAAUUACUGGGCGUAAAGCGUGCGCAGGCGGUUAUAUAAGACAGAUGUGAAAUCCCCGGGCUCAACCUGGGAACUGCAUUUGUGACUGUAUAGCUAGAGUACGGCAGAGGGGGAUGGAAUUCCGCGUGUAGCAGUGAAAUGCGUAGAUAUGCGGAGGAACACCGAUGGCGAAGGCAAUCCCCUGGGCCUGUACUGACGCUCAUGCACGAAAGCGUGGGGAGCAAACAGGAUUAGAUACCCGUGUAGUCCCUGUCUCUUAUAC
rnacentral:rRNA from 1 species